UCUAAUGGGCGGGCUGUGGUGGGGGAGCCGCAAGGCUCGCCGGUAUGGUACAGAGCCGGUCUUCCAAACCCGCCACGUGCCCGCUCACCCCU
rnacentral:antisense_RNA from 1 species